GCAAACUUGGUCAUUUAGAGGAAGUAAAAGUCGUAACAAGGUUUCCGUAGGUGAACCUGCGGAAGGAUCAUUAAUGAAACGAACCCUCGGGGGGUUGUGCUGGCGCCUCGGCGCAACGUGCACGCCCCCUCUGGCGUUUAGACCCCUUCACACCUGUGCACGAACCCGUCGGACGGGGGUGGCGCCUCGCGCGCCCUCCGGUCCGGCCCCUUCACAUCAGCUUAUGAACGUACGUCGAAUGCAUCAUUGCGCAUGCGCAACCGAAAUACAACUUUUAACAACGGAUCUCUUGGUUCUCGCAUCGAUGAAGAACGCAGC
rnacentral:misc_RNA from 1 species